AUUGAACGCUGGCGGCAGGCCUAACACAUGCAAGUCGAGCGGAUGACGGGAGCUUGCUCCUUGAUUCAGCGGCGGACGGGUGAGUAAUGCCUAGGAAUCUGCCUGGUAGUGGGGGACGACGUUUCGAAAGGAACGCUAAUACCGCAUACGUCCUACGGGAGAAAGCAGGGGACCUUCGGGCCUUGCGCUAUCAGAUGAGCCUAGGUCGGAUUAGCUAGUAGGUGAGGUAAAGGCUCACCUAGGCGACGAUCCGUAACUGGUCUGAGAGGAUGAUCAGUCACACUGGAACUGAGACACGGUCCAGACUCCUACGGGAGGCAGCAGUGGGGAAUAUUGGACAAUGGGCGAAAGCCUGAUCCAGCCAUGCCGCGUGUGUGAAGAAGGUCUUCGGAUUGUAAAGCACUUUAAGUUGGGAGGAAGGGCAGUAAGUUAAUACCUUGCUGUUUUGACGUUACCGACAGAAUAAGCACCGGCUAACUCUGUGCCAGCCGCCGCAGUAACAC
rnacentral:rRNA from 1 species